rnacentral:lncRNA from 1 species
AGGAGAAGAAGAAGAAAAUGUUAAAGAAGAUGAUGGAAGAUAGUCUCGUUAAGUACUCCUUUAAGAACAAGGGUCUUGCGAAGACACAAGUCCCUCCUAGCACCAAUUCUGUUGGUGUAGAAUUUCACCAAUGUCGGAGAAGCUGGAGUUGAGGAGAUUGCAUCCACCGUCGGGACCUACAAGGGAUGUCUAAAUCGGAGUUGGGGGUACUCCGAUAAGAUCCUCCGAUGCUCAAGUC